rnacentral:sRNA from 1 species
AACGCCGUUCGUGAUUAUAUUAAGGAACGAGCG